rnacentral:rRNA from 1 species
AUGCUCCACGUCAGGCUCGCUCCUGGGCCUGCACCGCGUAAUUUAUCUAGGAGAUGGGAUUCCAGCGCAUACCUACAUAGCUGGUGUUCCGUUCCUUGUCCAAGCAGGCUCAGUCUCUCGAGGGCAUAUUCAAUUAAAUCUUCUUCGAUUGGUAGCGCCACGGGACUUUGUCUUGGGCAAUGUUGCCGCAUCAAGCCUUUGUCCUGCAAAUGCAAGCUAGGUAGGUCUUCUCAGCCGCCACCUGACUCGAGGCAACAUUUUAGUGCAUCUUCAUCCGCAUCAGAGGCGGUUCUCACUGCGCAGUCCGAUAUCCGGAAACUUUUUGUUGCCAAUGAGAAAAUCGGCGUUCUGCUGCUAAACCUUGGAGGCCCAGAGACCCUUGAUGAUGUCCAGCCUUUCUUGUUUAAUCUCUUUGCUGAUCCGGAUAUCAUCCGUCUUCCUAGGGCGUUCCGCUUUCUGCAGAAGCCGCUAGCACAAUUCAUUUCUGUUGCAAGAGCGCCAAAGAGCAAGGAAGGUUAUGCAUCCAUAGGUGGUGGUUCACCUCUUCGACAAAUUACUGAUGCGCAGGGAGAAGCACUUAUGGAAGCAUUAUGUGGAAAGGAUAUCCCUGCUAAGGUGUACGUGGGAAUGCGGUACUGGCAUCCCUUCACCGAGGAAGCUAUAGAACAAAUAAAAAAGGAUGGAAUCACAAAACUUGUUGUACUACCUCUUUACCCCCAGUUCUCCAUAUCGACCAGUGGUUCAAGUCUCCGUCUUCUGGAGAGCAUAUUCAGCUGCAAUGUUAGAGAGGAUGAGUAUCUGGUCAAUAUGCAACAUACGGUUAUUCCUUCUUGGUAUCAGCGUGAAGGAUAUAUUAAGGCCAUGACAACUUUGAUCGAGAAGGAGUUGUUGAAAUUUCCAAAACCGCAGAAGGUUAUGAUAUUUUUCAGUGCUCAUGGAGUUCCUCUGGCAUACGUUGAAGAAGCUGGUGAUCCGUAUAAAGCAGAGAUGGAAGAGUGCGUGGAUCUUAUCAUGGAGGAGCUCGAAAAAAGAGGAAUGGCAAAUCCAUGUACACUUGCUUAUCAGAGCCGAGUAGGACCAGUGGAAUGGCUGAAACCCUACACUGACGAGACAAUUAUUGCUCUUGGGCAGAGGGGGGUAAAGAGUCUUCUAGCAGUUCCCAUUAGUUUUGUCAGCGAACACAUUGAGACGUUAGAAGAAAUUGACGUCGAAUACAAGGAGCUGGCUUUGCAAUCUGGUAUCAAGCACUGGGGACGAGUUCCCGCUUUAGGUUGUGAGCCCACAUUCAUUUCAGAUCUGGCGGAUGCUGUUAUCGAAAGCCUGCCUUAUGUUGGCGCAAUGGCAGUUUCCAACCUUGAGGCUCGACAGUCACUGGUGCCACUUGGAAGCGUGGAGGAGCUGCUAGCAGCCUACGACUCGAAACGCGACAUGCUGCCUCCUCCGGUGAUUGUGUGGGAGUGGGGCUGGACGAAGAGCGCCGAGACAUGGAAUGGACGUGCUGCUAUGCUGGCCGUGUUGGCUCUCCUGGUGCUGGAGGUAACAACCGGACAGGGGCUCUUGCACCAGUGGGGUAUUUUGCCACCUUUCCCUUAA